ensembl:snRNA U6 U6 spliceosomal RNA
GUGCUGCUCAUUUUGGCAGCAUGUAUACGAAAAUUGGAACAAUACGAGGAGAUUAGCAUGCCCCCUGCUUAGGAUGACAUGCAAAUCUGUGAAGCAUUCGAUAUUUUU